rnacentral:rRNA from 1 species
GACGAACGCUGGCGGCGUGCUUAACACAUGCAAGUCGAACGGAAAGGCCCUGCUUGCCGGGUACUCGAGUGGCGAACGGGUGAGUAACACGUGGGUGAUCUGCCCUGCACUUCGGGAUAAGCUUGGGAAACUGGGUCUAAUACCGGAUAGGAGCCAUCUUUAGUGUGGUGGUUGGAAAGUUUUUUCGGUGUAGGAUGAGCUCGCGGCCUAUCAGCUUGUUGGUGGGGUAAUGGCCUACCAAGGCGGCGACGGGUAGCCGGCCUGAGAGGGUGUACGGCCACAUUGGGACUGAGAUACGGCCCAGACUCCUACGGGAGGCAGCAGUGGGGAAUAUUGCACAAUGGGCGCAAGCCUGAUGCAGCGACGCCGCGUGGGGGAUGAAGGCCUUCGGGUUGUAAACUCCUUUCGCUAGGGACGAAGCUUUUUUGUGACGGUACCUAGAGAAGAAGCACCGGCUAACUACGUG